UACGAGAGGCCCAAACGUUAUUCGGAAUUACUGGGCUUAAAGAGUUCGUAGGCGGCCUGAAAAGUCGGGUGUGAAAGCCCUCGGCUCAACCGAGGAAUUGCGCUCUAAACUGUCGUGCUCGAGGAAUCUAGAGGUGAGCGGAACUGAUGGUGGAGCGGUGAAAUGCGUUGAUAUCAUCAGGAACACCGGAGGCGAAGGCGGCUCACUGGGGAUUUUCUGACGCUGAGGAACGAAAGCCAGGGGAGCGAACGGG
rnacentral:rRNA from 1 species